ACGGGGUGCAGCAGGCGCGAAAACUUUACAAUGCUGGAAACAGCGAUAAGGGGACCUCGAGUGCCAGGUUACAAAUCUGGCUGUCGUGAUGCCUAAAAAGCAUUGCGUAGCAAGGGCCGGGCAAGACCGGUGCCAGCCGCCGCGGUAACACCGGCGGCUCGAGUGGUAACCGUUAUUAUUGGGUCUAAAGGGUCUGUAGCCGGCCGGGUAAGUCUCUUGGGAAAUCUGGCAGCUUAACUGUCAGGCUUUCAGGAGAUACUGUCUGGCUCGAGGCCGGGAGAGGUGAGAGGUACUUCAGGGGUAGGGGUGAAAUCUUGUAAUCCUUGAAGGACCACCAGUGGCGAAGGCGUCUCACCAGAACGGACCUGACGGCAAGGGACGAAAGCUAGGGGCACGAACCGGAUUAGAUACCCGGGUAGUCCUAGCCGUAAACGAUACUCGCUAGGUGUCGGCAACGGUGCGACCGUUGUCGGUGCCGUAGGGAAGCCGUGAAGCGAGCCACCUGGGAAGUACGGCCGCAAGGCUGAAACUUAAAGGAAUUGGCGGGGGAGCACCACAACGGGUGGAGCUUGCGGUUUAAUUGGAUUCAACGCCGGAAAUCUUACCGGGACCGACAGCAAUGUGAAGGCCAGGCUGAAGACUUUGCCGGAUUAGCUGAGAGGUGGUGCAUGGCCGUCGUCAGUUCGUACUGUGAAGCAUCCUGUUAAGUCAGGCAACGAGCGAGACCCACGCCCCACAGUUGCCAGCGUACUCU
rnacentral:rRNA from 1 species